UUAACGGACACAUAGCACCACAAUAACGGACUUAUUCUGUCAGAAUAAGAUGAACUGCGCUUUUCUCCACUUACCUCUCAAAUGCAAGCUCAGUCGUAGGCGCUGGGCUUGUAGAAAUAUUUGCAUCUGACUGAAUGCAUAACUAAUCGCUCCGUCUGGCAGUAUUAGCCAGCAAACACCAUCCUCCAAGCCUUCUCAAAGUUCAGCGAGCAUCUGUAACUUAAGAGGAGAACGGACUAAACAGGUUGCAUUGAGUGCACAUUUCCUCCUGCCUCCCCUAGUGGGAUGGUUCUGCAUGACAGGGAGGGUAUGGUUCUGUAACCCCCUCUCUGUCCUCCAGUUCCCAUCCCAUAGACCCAGUGGACCACAGCCACAGUGUUCCCUUCAAUGAACAUCCCUCUGGAGCCCUAGAUCAAGUUACAUUGGGUGCCCAUUCUCUGCUGCCUCUCCCCGGUGGGAUGGUUCUGCAUGACAGGGAGGGUGUGGCGCCGUAGCACCCUCUCCUUGAGAUCUCUCCCACCCCGUAAAACCAGUGGACCACAGCCAUAGAGUUCCCCUCAAUGAGCAUCCCUCUGGAGCCCUAGAUCAAGUAAGUUGGCAAAUCAUCCAGAAGCUCUAAGCUGUAUUAAAAAAUAACCUGAAUUGGCA
rnacentral:lncRNA from 1 species